rnacentral:rRNA from 1 species
UACGUAGGGGGCUAGCGUUGUCCGGAUUUAUUGGCGUAAGAGCUACGUAGCGGUCGUGUCGCGUCGGCUGUGAAAACCCGAGGCUCAACCUCGGGCCUGCAGUCGAUACGGGCAAACUAGAGUACUGCAGGGGAGACUGGAAUUCCUGGUGUAGCGGUGAAAUGCGCAGAUAUCAGGAGGAACACCGGUGGCGAAGGCGGGUCUCUGGGCAGUAACUGACGCUGAGGAGCGAAAGCGUGGGGAGCGAACAGG